rnacentral:rRNA from 1 species
UUAAACCUUUAUAAAUUGGCGGCAUUUCAUCUUAUUAGAGGAACCUGUUUUUUAAUCGAUAACCCACGUUAUAUUUUACUUUAAUUAUAAAAAUUUAUAUAUCGCCAUUACAAGAAUUAAUUUUAAAAAUAUUACUCUAAAUAUUACUUUAAAAAAUAGGUCAAGGUGUAAUUUAUAUUAAAGAUAAAAUGGGUUACUUUAAAAAUAUUUAAGAAUUAUUUAUUUCAAAUUAAAUAUAAAAAAGGAUUUAAAAGUAAUAUAUAAUUUACUAUAAAUUAAA